UGCGAAACGGCCCCGCGCGGGGCCGUCGCCGGGGCGUGGCGGCCCCGGCCUGACGAGCAGCCAAA
rnacentral:hammerhead_ribozyme from 1 species